GAACUUGCUUUGGCAGUGCAGAUUCUAAAAUUCGAACGAUACAAAGAAGAUUAGCAUGGACCCUGUGCAAGGAUGACACGCAAAUUCUUGAAGCGUUCCAUAUUUCU
rnacentral:snRNA from 1 species